rnacentral:rRNA from 1 species
AUUGAACGCUGGCGGCAGGCCUAACACAUGCAAGUCGAGCGAGCGGCGGCCGGGUGAGUAAUGUAUGGGGACUGCCCGAUAGAGGGGGCUAACUACUGGAAACGGUGGCUAAUACCGCAUACUAUCGGAUAACCCAUAUGGGAUUAGCUAGUAGGUGGGGUAAAGGCUCACCUAGGCGACGAUCUCUAGCUGGUAUGAGAGGAUGAUAAACAAACUUGGGGCUGAGACACGGCCCAGAAUCCUACGGAGGCAGCAGUGGGGAAUAUUGCACAAUUGGCGAAAGCCUGAUGCAGCAAUGACGCGUGUAUGAAGAAGGCCUUAGGGUUGUAAAGUACUUUCAGCGGGGAGGCGUUUCCCGCAGAAGAAGCACCGGCUAACUACGUGCCAGCAGCCGCGGUAAUAC